rnacentral:tRNA from 1 species
UGUUUUGCGCGCGGGGUUUUUCUGCGCGAUGUCCUGGCGGCGGGCGCGGCGGCGAGGUCUGUCGCGUCCUUCGCGCGCGGCGCGCGGCGGGGCGU